rnacentral:misc_RNA from 1 species
GUAUAUAGCCAUAUACCUCUGUAGGUGAACCUGCGGCAGCGUAUAUNCUAUCAUACCUCCGCAGGUUCACCUACAGAGGACAUAUACCAUAUACCUCUGUAGGUGAACCUGCGGAGCUAUAUACUAUAUACCUCCGCAGGUUCACCUACAGAGGUAUAUUGUAUAUACCUCUGUAGGUGAACCUGCGGAUUCUAUACCAUAUACCUUCGCAGUCUCACCUACAGAGAUCUCUGCCAUAUACCUCUGUUGGUGAACCUGCGGAGGUUUAUUGAAUAUACCACUGCAGGAUCACCCACAGAGCUCUUUGGUAUACCCUGCAGCAUGCGAAUUUGCGUAGGUAUAUAUCUUCUACCUCCGCUUUUUCACCUUCAAUUGUUUCUGCUUUUACCUUGGAAGUUGAAACUGCUUCAGGCAUAUCUCCUCUUUCUGCGCAGCUCAAUCUCAGUGUUAUACUUCAUUUCCCUCUGCAUGUUAACUAUCGAUCGCUUAUGACAUUUUCCCCCGUAGCCUCACCUACUGAGGAAUAACCCACUUCUCCUNGUCCGUUGAAUUGGACNAUGUUUUUAUNAUAUANAUCUCGCA